CUGGAUAAUCUCUUUGAGAAGGGCCCCCUCGCUGACAAGUGUUAUACGAUAGUGGACUUUGACUCACUUUAUCCGUCAAUAGAACAUGCACCAGCCAAUGUCAUGUUGUAUAGGUUCAUACUCCAACACCUACCAGAUGCUACAGUCCGGGCUAAUUUGACCAAGGAUAUCUGUUCCAUCAUUACGUAUAAGUCAUAUUUUGUCUUUGAUGGCCACUACUACAUUCAGAAGAAGGGAGCCCUAAUGGAGGCCCGAUUGCAGGGCUCAUGGCGGAACUGGUGGUUAUGUACAAAAUAGUUAACGUCUUACAUAUGUUCAGGCCCCACCUCAAACUAUAUACGCGAUAUGUCAAUGAUGUCUGCAUUAUAUGGGACAGCAAGGACUGUACAGAAGAUAUACAGUGCUCCCUUACAGAUUCUACCCUUAGUCUGUCUACUAGAGUGGAGCAACGUGCCACAGACUGGUUCCACUUUCUGGAUAUACUUGUUGAACAGAGGGAGGUGAGUACCUAACGAAUAUAUAUAGAAAGCCUACAUAUGUCCCGGUUAUCAUCCCAGCGUGGUCAUCUGAUCCCAUGUCAUACAAGCUAGCGGUCUUUCGAGCCAUGAUUGCACAAGCUUUCACCCACAUCACGACAUGGGCAGACAAAGAAGUUGAACAUCGAUAUAUUCAUCAAGUAGGAUGCAAGUAUAGCUGUCCUUACAAAGUGAUUGAGGGAAUGUGGAAGAAGCAAAUAAGAUUAUGGCAAAAGAGUGACCCAGAACCGGAAAACAUAGUGGAAACAACACUGCAUAGGCGAAACUUUGCACCGCUCAUGUAUGAUAAAGAUGUUGUUGGUAUUGUGGCC
rnacentral:lncRNA from 1 species